UUCUUCGUGGUGCAGUGGUUAGCACACUCGGCUUACAACCGAGAGAGCCUGGGUUCGAUUCCCGGGCGGAGUGGAAA